rnacentral:misc_RNA from 1 species
UGGUGUUAUACACCACCGCACCCCUCCUUCUUUCUCUGUGGGUAUGGGCGUCGUUUUUAGACCAACCGGCUGCAACGCCUGUAUCAUGGAUCACAAUUUUUCAAAGUACCAAUACUUUAUCAGUUGCUCCAUAACCCUCCUCUACGUGGGGCUGAUUGCGGCGUCUUACUUCGACAUAUCGACAUGCCCGUACGUCUAUGACCGGCCAGCGUCCUUGGCGCCGCUGAGGCUGCCGGGCGCGAAGCAAGUCUGCGGUGAUGCGGCGGGCAUUCGUCGCUCCCUCUUCGCCUCCCUCGCCUUGGAGGGGGGUUUCUCGUGUCACAUGGUGGACAUCAUUGUCUGGGCCUACGUUGUCGGUCUUUUCGUCUUCAUGUCGUGCAAGUACAUCGCGUACCGUCUGCAAGGGCUUCACUACUUCUUUCUCGACUACUGCUACUUCCACAACUCCGUGCUGAUGUGCUUUCUGCUGUGGCGGCUCGUCGACAUCCAGUGGUCGGAGCAGCCCAUCAUCUCGUGGUCAGCACACACGCCUUUGUCGCGAUGGUUGCACGACUACGGCAGCAAUGCGUCCAACUUAGCGAUGAGCACCGCCGUUCACGCGGUGGAUAAUGAGACGUGGUGGCGCCCAAUCCUCACUGGAACGCCGAUCCGCAGGGAGUCCUGGGCUCGCCUCAUUGUUCCCCCAGCCGCUCGCAAUUACCGCUUUGAUGGCGUGUACCUGCCGAUCUCGUUCGAGAUCCUCACGUGCGGCUACGUGGUGGCCCAUCUGACGGAAGCCGAGGUCAUCUCAUCCUUCAUGUUCUUCUUCACGCUAUUGGCCGGCACCUUCGGCCCCAUACUCGGGGCGAUCCUCAUGUGGCGCAAUGCGCUCUUGUUCCACUCCUUCGAUCGCAUGUCGUCUUGCUACCUCCACCUGGCACCCGGCAUCGUGCAGAGCCUGCUGCUGCACCGCCUGUUCACAUCGGCGCGGCGUGAGAUCGAGAGCCUGGAUCCCGGGCGGCUCUACGAGAACGUCACCGGGAUCGCCAAGCAGCUCAACGUCUCCGUUGGCAGCCUGCUGCCGGGCGUGCACACGCUCAUGUACAACAUGAGUGACGUGUCAACAGCAGCGGCAGACAAUGUUACGAAGGUGGGCAGCACGCAUCGCGGCCCGGCGCGGCUGAUCUCGUCCGUCUAUUCGACCCUCACAGCGAAGCAGCAGCAACUGCGGUUCACUCAGUACGCUGCCACGCACCAGCUUGAGGCCCUCUGCGGCUACGGCACCCUCUGCUACGACCUGCGGCGCGCCGUCACCUACGGCAACCUGCUGCGGCUGCAUUUUAUCAUGUUUUGUGUCUGGCAGGUCUUCUACCACACCUUCAACGAGUGGCGCAGGCACGCGCGCGAGCAGUGGUGGAAGAAGCGCCUGGCGAAGCUCGAGAGGCAGCAAAGAGAAUUCGUGCAGCUCACCAGUGCCACGGAGACGGGCGCGGAGCCGCUGCACUCGGCUGCCGUGAUGAGCGAGGGUGGCGGCGGCAGCCCGGCCGAGCGCAUGACCUCGUAUAAAUGGAUGAUGGCGCACCCACCUGGUGGUCGCAAGGGUAUUCUCGCACGCUUUGUCCUGCUGUUUGGUGAGGGUCGUCUGCCCACCACGGUCAUGUUCCAAGUGGCGCAGUGGCUUCUCCACAUGUUCUUCUUCACCUGCAGCUACCCCUUCAUCCACUUUUGCUUCCACUACAUGCUGAGCGCGUGGCCGCUGAUGAUGUUGGUGCUGGCGUUUGCGCUCCUGUGCGUGUACAACGCAGCGUGCGUGAACCACAAGUGGAUCUCGAAGCUGCAGCAGACGGCGUCAAAAGGAAUGGAAGCGGGGUGGCAGGAACAGCCCACCAAGUCGAUGGCACAGGCCACCAAUACAGCAACAGCAAAGAAGGCGUGAUAGCGCGCGCGCCGCCGCCGUGAGAGAAGCGGUAUCCGUAUGUCUGCAUGUUUCUGUGGCCGCCCCCACCCCAUGUGCAUGUAAGCACUUGGGAUUUACUGUCCCCCUUCUAUUGUCGCGUUUUCCUCAAGGGAUAGCGUGUUUCUCUCAGCAGUGAAUGGAGUUUGCUGAGGUGCUCCGGGAGCGGCGCCGCGUCUGCCGCACUGACGGCGGCAGGCACACGUCAUUCAAGGGGCAGUAGACACAUCUUACAAGAUGAACACAAAACGGAUAGACAAGGAGAGAACGGAUCACCCGCCAAAACGCACCAGCACGAAAGGUCCGUGUGUCCGCAGAACGUGUGGUACCCCCACGUUUGCAGAUGAAGACCGCAGCUUUGGGCAACAGCUCCUCACUUCUUUUCAGCCUCCCCAAUACGCCUUGCCUCUUCCCUCUCCACGUGCGCCCGCACUAG